rnacentral:tRNA from 1 species
GAGGGCAUAGUUCAGUGGUAGAGCAUUGUGUUUAGCAUGCAUGAGGUCCUGAGUUCAAUACCCAGCACCUUCA